AACGAACGCUGGCGGCAUGCCUAACACAUGCAAGUCGAACGAGACCUUCGGGUUUAGUGGCGCACUGGUGCGUAACGCGUUGGAACCUGCCCUUAGAUUCGGAUUAUCUCCCCGAAUGAGGUGCUAAUACCGGCUCAUGUCUUCGGACCAAAGUUUUAUCGCCUUUGGAUGGGCCCGCGUUGUAUUACCUAGUUGUUAGGGUAAAAGCCUAUAAAGGCUAGGUUGCAUAGCUGGUUAGAGAGGAAGAUAAGCCACACUGGGAUUAAGACACGGCCCAGAAUACUACAGGAUGCAGCAGUGGGUAAUAUUGCAAAAUCGCCUAAAUCCUGAACCAGCAAUGACUCUAAAGUAAUGAAAGCCUUAGGGUUGUAAAGCUCUUUUACACGUGAUUAUAAUGACAUUACCGACAGAAUAAGCACCGGCUAACUCCGUG
rnacentral:rRNA from 1 species